AGAGUUUGAUCCUGGCUCAGAUUGAACGCUGGCGGCAUGCUUUACACAUGCAAGUCGAACGGCAGCGCGGGGCAACCUGGCGGCGAGUGGCGAACGGGUGAGUAAUAUAUCGGAACGUACCCAAGAGUGGGGGAUAACGUAGCGAAAGUUACGCUAAUACCGCAUACGAUCUAAGGAUGAAAGUGGGGGAUCUUCGGACCUCAUGCUCCUGGAGCGGCCGAUAUCUGAUUAGCUAGUUGGUGAGGUAAAGGCUCACCAAGGCGACGAUCAGUAGCUGGUCUGAGAGGACGACCAGCCACACUGGGACUGAGACACGGCCCAGACUCCUACGGGAGGCAGCAGUGGGGAAUUUUGGACAAUGGGCGCAAGCCUGAUCCAGCAAUGCCGCGUGAGUGAAGAAGGCCUUCGGGUUGUAAAGCUCUUUUGUCAGGGAAGAAACGGUUGAGGCUAAUAUCCUCGGCUAAUGACGGUACCCUGAAGAAUAAGCACCGGCUUACUACGUCCAGCAGCCCGGUAAUUC
rnacentral:rRNA from 1 species